rnacentral:lncRNA from 1 species
AGUGGGGAUAGAGACCUGCCUUCUUUCCGGGUUGCCAGUGGGGAGGUGUAAAUGAGAUGGCUGAUGUAAUACACGUUUUUAAACAGCCCACACAAUGGUCAGGGGGCGGGUGCGCAUCUUUGUGACGAGUUCUGGCAGGCUCCCUCCUCGAUUCAGAGCCAGCGGAGCAGGUUGGGAGGUUGCCCCUUUGUCAUUCAUGAAAGCACACCCAGGCAGGUCCGCGAAGGGCGAGAGAGAAGUGGGACAUAGUCCAGUCACCCAGUCACCCUGACUAAUUCAGGUCAUAACACCCCAUGCCUCCAGACCCCUAAAAUUUGAACCAAUGUGGCCAACUCCUGCAUCUUUGUGGAUAUCUCCUACUCUCUAGGGUGCAUGAGUUUUACCCAGGUAUCUGGAGAGCAUCCCAACCAUGUCUUACUGCUCACGUCGGAUUAACGUGACGCCGUCAAACCUGUGGGCCAGUGUCAGGACGGCCAGAAUACCCGCCUCUUUGGACCACAUUGUGACAGAGAGUGAAACACUUCGCAUAGUUUCAUGCCAAGGCCACACAUGUCUAUCACUGGUCAUCCAGUGGGAUGCAAACCCAUUUUGUUCCUCCUUCCUGAUGGGCUUUGAAAAGAACACAUUCAUCAGAUCAGCAGCCGCACAGCCCCGUAUUUAAAACUGUUCAUCUGCUGAGUACACACACCAUAUUUGGCACAGCAGCUACAACUGGACUAUUUCUUGGCUAAAUUUUUGGUGGUGCACUGUCACCUGCUGUGACCAUCAUUUUCAGGGGGGCCAGGUGGACAGAGGAAUUGGAGAUGUGUUGGAGGCCAACCUUGAGAGUGGUCCUGACCUCCGCACGCCCCUUGGGAAGCUGUGCUGACUUUGGUUGACUAUCUUUUGGGCAGGGACGGGUGCUCCGCCACGGUGGCCCCUGUGGAAAUGGGCACUCUGCCUUAUGAUGCAGCAUAUACCUUUAGCAGUGGCCUUACCUGCUGCUGGGUCUGUGAAAGAUGGAAUUAGGAACGAAGGGCUGGGGGGAGGUGGCCCAGGCCACCAUCACACCCUGUGACCAACGUGGGGAAUUUAUGCCUCUAGUCCCUUGCAGCACAGGCUCUGUAAGUCUAUAGGCCCCGGAUUCCAGAGGUUCAUGCUUCCAUCAAGGCUAUCUCAACUGAAAGCUCUGGUGUCAGCUGGCCCACCUGGGCUUCCUGAGCCAGGAGACAGGCAGCGAAGAACAAAGCCCCCCCACUGGCA